GUCUCGGUGGCGCAAUGGUAGCGCGUUGGACUUCUACCACACAGUUGUUUGUUACAUCUCUGUAAUCCAAAGGCUGCGGGUUCGAGCCCCGCCCGAGAUG